UAAGCCAUGCAGCUCUGAGGUGAGUUAAUUCUCAAUCUGCGAAAGGCUCCGUACAACUGUUAUAACCUACCGUGUUACACAAUAUAUGGAUAAUACCAGUAAAUCUGAUAAUAAUACAUUGGAAAAUAAGCGUAAUCUGAGUAGCUUCGGACGAGGAAUGCAUCGGACACUGGGAAAUAAACCUCCUGUGGCUUUUGUUACCUCAUUAAAAGUCACGGCAAAAAGAUAGGGACUCUCAAUAUAAAAAUAGGCAUAUUCAAAAAAGGGUAAAGAAUGAUGAGAUAGGCUCACUUAAAAAUACCGGAAUACUUGUUUUCAAGAACCGGUUACUGUGCGCUCUUAUUUCUUCGUUUCCUUCAUUGGUUAGCUUGGAAAAUAUGAGAGAAUCAGAUCCUGAUAUAUAAUAGAGUUUAAAAGUCUUUAAAAGAUAUACAAUCACGAUGGGUUUCAGUCCUAUCAACUAGAUGGUAGGGUAUUGGCCUACCAUGGUUUUUACGGGUACAGAGGAUAAGGGUUCGAUCCUGGAGAGGUAGCCUGAGAAAUAGCUACCACUUCUAAGGAAGGCAGCAGGCGCGCAACGUUCCCAAUGGCUGAAAGGCUGAGGACGUUAUGGAACAUAGCAAUACUUCACUGUUUAGUGAGGCAAUUGAAAUGGGGGAGGUUUAAAUCACCCACCGAGUAACAAUUGGAGGACAA
rnacentral:rRNA from 1 species